AACUUGGAAUCGCAGAUUUGGUCGAGGACGACAAGAGCAGGGACAUAGGACGUGUGGUCCUAUUUUGUUGGUUUCUAGGAGCGCAGUAAUAAUUAAUGCGGACAGUGGGGGGCAUCAGUAUUCAAUUGUCAGAGCUGAAAUUCUUGGAUUUAUUGAAGACUAACUACUGCGAAAGCAUUUCACAAGGAUGUUUUCAUU
rfam:Fusarium oxysporum f. sp. lycopersici 4287 supercont2.44 genomic scaffold, whole genome shotgun sequence.